UACCUAUGAUAGCCAAAAUGCCAUGAAG
rnacentral:piRNA from 1 species